rnacentral:lncRNA from 10 species
GGGAGACUUCACCCUUUUUCCAUGAGUCAUUGCCAUGAAUUGCUGGGUGGCUUAUAUAAAUGAAUACUAGAGGAGGCAGAAAUGUGAUGACUCUUGGGAGACUUCACCACAUGAUGUCUACUUUGCCAUUGGAGUUAGGCACUAUCCCAGCCAGACCUGACUCAGAGUGAGAAGCAUAGAUAAUUUACAAGGCCAGUGCUAAAUGAAAACAUGGGGCCCCUUGUUAAAAAGUAUUGAGCAAUUCUAGACAGGGACAGCAUUAAACCAAGCGGGGCCUUUCUAACCACAGGGCACCAGCUAGCAUGGGACAGCUGCGUAGGGGUGCAGGUGGCCCACCUGUGAAUCCAGCCCUGGAGAAAAGCAUCCACAACCAAUUGAAUCAAAGAAGGAGAGGUUCCUGGGGCUAUUUGGCUAUAGUGCUUUGUUUCUUUUCAGAUCUCUCAAUUUAUAAGUGUAUAACAACAGUAUUAUGCUGGUGAAAGUUACCAUUUUAUGGAUCACUGGGGCUGGCUCCUUUCAGAGGAAUGAGCACAUUAGCAAUUGGCCUCUCUCAUCUGGUCUUAACGUGGGCUUAACUGCUGCCUUGACUGAAAACAAUAGCAAUGAAGGCAAAGCAAGCGCAGACCCUGCAGUAGGCCGGCCAGACAGAAGGUUCUGCUCUGCAGGGGUCCCGGAAAAGAGGAGGCAGAUAGGUGCCUUCCCCAAGGGUCCUAGGCUGCUGUCUGUGGGGUUGUGAACCACGAAAUUUUCUAGUUCCUUUCAGAAAUGACCUGGUCAGACAUAAUGGAACUGGGUAUCCCCAGCCCUUUCAAAAAAAAAAUCCUACUAAAGACCCAACCAAUGUAUUUCAGAUCACAUUUGUGCCUACAUUAAGUACACUAAAUUAUACACAAAAUGUUACUGGAAAGUCCCCAAGAGAUGAUUCUUGGAUCUCAUGCAAGAAAGAUUUUGGGGUGAGUCCACAGAAUAAAGUGAAAGCGAGUUUAUUGGAGAAGUAAAGAAACAAAGGAAUGGCUACUCCAUGGGCAGGGCAGGGCGUUCCCAAAAGCAAGAGAGCAAGGGGAGGAGUGUUCCUAUCUUAGGUGCAAAGCUUUUUUUUUUUUUUUUUUUUUUUAAGAUGUUGUCUUGCCCUGGGCUGGGCUGUGUGGGGAGGCCAUGGAAAGCAGCCUGGACUACAGUCAUAAGCUGAGUCAUAAGCUGAGGACUUGGCUCACAAACAAGCCCUACAUGAGACCCUGCUGGUGGGGGUCGGGGGUGGGUCCUGUUAUCCCCUUCUCUGCCCCCUGCCUUCUCUGCAGGAAUGCUGGCUGAUGGCCCCUGCCUCAUCUCCAGGCCCCCAUGUCUUCAAGAUGCUUGUUUACCCAGUUGCCACAGCCUCCCCAGGAACUCGUGGGAGCAAGCUCUGCAUGGCUGACAGCCCCAUUUAGAAGAGGGCGCUGUGGAAUGAAUGGUCCCCCCUGCAGCUCAGCCUCAUCUCCUUAAUGGAUCCUAAUUACCCCUGUCCUGCUUAUAGCUUCUCUCCAGGACCCACUUGUCAGGAUGAUGGAUGAGGUGACUGGGAGGUGGGGCCAGCUGGGACUGGAGGAAUCCCCCCACUGUCUAGUAGGGCGGGGACGCAGGAACUUUCAGUCAGUCCCAAAGAUUCUGAGGAAGAGAAGACAACAUUGCAGGAUGAGCUCUUCUCCCCUUUUGUCCCCAAAACUUGGGCCAGGACAUUUCCUCAUGAUUAAUUUCAGACCAUACAUCUUUGGCAAGAGUUUCACAGAAACUUCUCAUCGCAUCUUAUCAGGCGGCACACGAUUCUGUUUUGUCUUGGAAUGAAGGAUGCUGACUUUGAUCACUUGCUUGCCGUAGUGUCUGCCAGCCGUCUCCACCAUCAAGCUACUCUUUUCUUCUUUCAGGGUGUGGCUGUGCUAGGAAAGAGACUUGGCCCACAGCCUCACAGUGAUUCAGAAGACGCUGGGUGAGGACCUCUGUGUCCCUGCUCCAAGGACCCUGAGAUGACCCAUCCCAGGACACUCAAUCCUGCCUGCAGAUGCUAGGCUCUGAGGAGAUGCCUGCUAUAGCACCAGCACAUUCUGCAGACAUGUUUUGAAAUGUGUUAAUAAAUAACUGGAGAACAGUAUCUAUACAAUUACCUAGAUUUGCCUGAACUUUACAGGGCAACUAAACAAACAGACAUACGUUCGCAGAAAGGCCACAGUACAGAAGACAAACCGAGGCUUGGUCACCCUGAGGAUCAGCAGCCGGAUCUUUUUCUGAAACAAAUUUCCUGCUAGAGAAUCCCUGAUCUCUGUGAUGCAGUAUUUCCCUAGUUUUUAUUUCUACUUCAACGAGGCACCUCAAUGUCAGUUUCCUUUGGGAAAAGAAAAUCAAAUGUCCCCACAGCUUUUGCCCAAUUGUGAAGGAAAAUUUCAGCAUUGAUUGUCUGUCUGGACUCUUGUGGGGAGGAGGCCAGUGGGCCUAGUAAGACCCUUAGCACACCUGGGCUGUCUAGCCUUAAGGAAACCAGACCUGCCAGGAAAGCAGAAAAGCUGUGAAGAGAUUUUUCUCUGCCUUCCUCGGGGGACAAUCUUCCAGAGCAACAAUGCACCAUGUAUUUACAGAAAACUUAUUAUGUUCAAGGUGCUGGGAGAAGCUAGUUGCAGAUACUUAGAGCAGUAAGGCUUUAAGUUAGACAUAAGGAAGGACUUCCAGCUAUUGGUAUUGAUAUAGUAGGACCCAAGCUUACUUCACAGCUUGCAUCAUCAGGGAAGGAUGAGAUCAUUCUUGAGAACAUUUUGAAUAAAGGCUUAGAGGGACUGAAUAUUGAACGAUCCUGUUAACAUUUCUCCCGGUCCUCCUCCUGCUUUCCAGGAUGAUACUGGUGUAUGAUUUUUACUUAAAGCCCUCCCCCAUCCCCACAGAGACACCUGGAGCCUGGCGGGCCUUGGCAUCAGUGGCUGUUGUCAUGGCGGGGAGAGCUGAGGUGACCACUGUGACUGCCCUGGGCACAAGGACCGUCGUUCUGUGAAUCCUCCCUAAGCCCGCUGGCGGGGCCCCUUUGCUGCCACUGCAAGUAAAGUUUCCCAGCUCAAGUAAAUUCUGGAGGGGAUUGACCUAAUUUCCAGAGUCUAAGGGGUGACAAAAAGCCCCAGUCAAAACUCCUGUAAGUGGGUGAUAAACAGUCUCUAUUAGAAAAAAUAAAUAACAUCUCCAAAGGAGAGCAGGCUUCCUAAGACCCCCUUGCCUUUCAGAGAGACAGCUGUCUCCUGGGAGGAGGACUCCCUGAGCCUCCCGCUUCAGCCGCUCCAGAGGAAAGGUUUGCCUUGCUGUCUCACUGCAGCGCUAGCUGCUCACCAUUUUCACCGACCGCCGCAGCCUCCUGAUGGACCCCACAGCAGGAAGAGGCUGUGGGAGAGGUCUCCACCCUUCAAGGUGGGGCUGACAGUGGUGCUUGGCCUUUAGAGUUGAAAUGUAUUGGUUCUCUGCCUUGGGAGGAACAAUCACUCUCUCUCUCUCUGUCUCUCUCUAUUUCUGUCUGUCUCUCUCUCAAACACACAUACACAUACACUGAGACAGCUAUCAUCAUACCUAAUUUACAUAUUAUGGAAACCGAGGCCCAGAGAGGUUAAAUAACUUGCGUGGUUUUGUCCAGCUAUUAAGUGGGCAAAGCUAGAAUUAGAAUUGAAGCCCAGUGACAGCUUUCAAAUCAAGUUCUUUCCCCUAUUCUGGAGCUGCAGCAACUUUAAUAAGCAUAAGAAGUACUUUGGGAUCUUGUUCAAAUGCAAGUUCUGCAGGUCUAGGGUGGGGUGGAGAUUCUGCAUUUGCAGUAAGUUCCCAAGUAGCAGGGUGUGCUACAAACACCUCAAAGCUGCAGACCCUGGGGAACAGUCCCCAUAGAAUAGGAGGCGGGAAUCAUUCUGGAAAAUAGGGAGACAUAAAUACCCAGACAAGCUUAGGUCUCCAAGGAGGCAGGGAGAUCAGGAGUGGGAGGAAAGGGCAGUCUGUCUCUCUUUCCUUAGAAGACUUCGUGGUUUGAACAUUGCCUUGGUUAGAUUUCCUGAUAUGGGUACAACUUGUGCUGAUCUCAGUGGGAAUCUGGAGCCAGAGAUGACCAGGAAUAGAGGGGGAUAACAUCUGCCAAGUUCCAUUCCUGGUUCAAAAUUCUAACUUGCCAGCUUGUUCAUUCAUCUAAUGACUCAGACCUGAUGGCAGAUUGAAUUUUCCAAAAAUGACUGCAACAAUAUCUUCCAUCCCACAUGUUAUUCUUACAGUGGGACUUUCCAUCUAGAGGUAGGACCUGUAUUUCUUCCCCAUGAAUCUGAGUGGAUGUGCAGUUAUAGUUGAAGUGAUGCUAUGGGACUUCAGAGGCUAGGUCAUAAAAGGCAAUACAUUAGGCCGAGCAUGAUGGCUCACACCUGUAAUCCCAACGCUUCGGGAGGCUGAGGCGGGUGGAUCACCUGAGGUUGGGAGUUCAAGACCAGCCUGACCAACCUGGAGAAACCCCGUCUCUACUAAAAAUACAGAAUUAGCUGGGCAUGGUGGCACAUGCCUGUAAUCCCAGCCACUCAGGAGACUGAGACAGGAGAAUCACUUGAACCUGGGAGGCGGAA